ensembl:snRNA U1 U1 spliceosomal RNA
AUCCUGACCUGGCAGGGGAGAGGCCAUGCUCACGAACGUGGUUCUCCCAGAGUGAGGCUUAUCCAUUGCACUCCAGAUGUGCUGACCCCUGCCACUUCCCCAAAUGUAGAUCUUUUUAUUUAUUUAUUUAUUUGUUUGAGACAGUCUUGCUCUGU